rnacentral:rRNA from 1 species
GAUGAACGCUGGCGGCGUGCCUAAUACAUGCAAGUCGAGCGAACAGAUAAGGAGCUUGCUCCUCUGACGUUAGCGGCGGACGGGUGAGUAACACGUGGAUAACCUACCUAUAAGACUGGGAUAACUUCGGGAAACCGGAGCUAAUACCGGAUAAUAUAUUGAACCGCAUGGUUCAAUAGUGAAAGACGGUUUUGCUGUCACUUAUAGAUGGAUUCGCGCCGCAUUAGCUAGUUGGUAAGGUAACGGCUUACCAAGGCAACGAUGCGUAGCCGACCUGAGAGGGUGAUCGGCCACACUGGAACUGAGACACGGUCCAGACUCCUACGGGAGGCAGCAGUAGGGAAUCUUCCGCAAUGGGCGAAAGCUUGACGGAGCAACGCCGCGUGAGUGAUGAAGGUCUUCGGAUCGUAAAACUCUGUUAUUAGGGAAGAACAAAUGUGUAAGUAACUAUGCACGUCUUGACGGUACCUAAUCAGAAAGCCACGGCUAACUACGUG